UACGUAGGGUGCGAGCGUUGUCCGGAAUUAUUGGGCGUAAAGAGCUCGUAGGCGGUCUGUCGCGUCUGCUGUGAAAACUCGGGGCUUAACCCCGGGCCUGCAGUGGGUACGGGCAGACUAGAGUGCGGUAGGGGAGACUGGAAUUCCUGGUGUAGCGGUGAAAUGCGCAGAUAUCGGGAAGAACACCCGUGGCGAAGGCGGCUCUCUGGGACGGUACUGACGCUGAGACGCGAAAGCGUGGGGAGCGAACAGG
rnacentral:rRNA from 1 species